GACCGCGUAGCUCAGUCGAAAGAGCAUUGGGCUAGUAUUCCAAAGGUCGUAGGUUCGAAUCCCACCGUGGCCG